UACGAAGGCGUCAAGCGUUAUCCGGAUUUAUUGGGCGUAAAGGGCCUCCAGGUGGUUUUGUUAGUCGGGCGUUAAAUCUCACUGCUUAACGGUGAGGCUGCGUUCGAAACGGCAAGACUAGAGGAAUGGAGAGGGAGUAGGAACUCACGGUGUAGGGGUGAAAUCCGUUGAUAUCGUGGGGAACACCAAAGGCGAAGGCAAACUCCUGGCCAUUUCCUGACACUCAUGAGACGAAAGCGUGGGGAGCGAAUGGG
rnacentral:rRNA from 1 species